rnacentral:rRNA from 1 species
AAAGGAAGAUUAAUCCAGGAUGGGAUCAUGAGUUCACAUGUCCGCAUGAUUAAAGGUAUUUUCCGGUAGACGAUGGGGAUGCGUUCCAUUAGAUAGUAGGCGGGGUAACGGCCCACCUAGUCGACGAUGGAUAGGGGUUCUGAGAGGAAGGUCCCCCACAUUGGAACUGAGACACGGUACAAACUCCUACGGGAGGCAGCAGUGAGGAAUAUUGGUCAAUGGGCGAUGGCCUGAACCAGCCAAGUAGCGUGAAGGAUGACUGCCCUAUGGGUUGUAAACUUCUUUUAUAAAGGAAUAAAGUCGGGUAUGCAUACCCGUUUGCAUGUACUUUAUGAAUAAGGAUCGGCUAGCUCCGUGCCAGCAGCCGCGGUAAUACGGAGGAUCCGAGCGUUAUCCGGAUUUAUUGGGUUUAAAGGGAGCGUAGAUGGAUGUUUAAGUCAGUUGUGAAAGUUUGCGGCUCAACCGUAAAAUUGUAGUUGAUACUGGAUGUCUUGAGUGCAGUUGAGGCAGGCGGAAUUCGUGGUGUAGCGGUGAAAUGCUUAGAUAUCACGA